AGUGUUGCAAUGAUGUUUGCAUAGUUCAACAGAUUAAAAAUGAAGAAUAAGCCACAGGAUUUCGCCCCUAUCUGAUCAACAUG